CUCCGGACAAGCUUCGACUAACGUGGCUGUGAGAACCAGUACAGUAUUGCAACAAUCGUCACGAAUCGCAUGUUUUCUUCUCGAGAAUUACAAUGAAAGAAAUCAUUCAUGAAGGUUUCCUGAUGACAUCCAGUUUGUCUGUUAAGGACCAAGAAUCCCAGAUCGGCGAUGGGUGACUGAUAAAAGUUUACUCCCCUGCGUGUCAUCACCACCACAGUACUGUUGGAACUCUUUGGAACAGCAAACAGAGUAAUGGUUGCAUGUUUCUUAAUCGUGUCAAAAGGCCUUCUGUUGAGUUUGCCAAAAACUCAAAGGAUGACGGGUACACUAGGCAGUAGGGCAACAAACAUUUGUGCCAUCGCAUGACUGAAUGCACAAAUUGAAAAUUUGAAAUUUUUUUUUUGCAACCAGAGCCAACAAUCCUAAAGAAUCGUCUUGUCGCCCCUGACUGUCCGUCAUUGCUUUUGUCGUACAAGUGACGUUUGUCACCUUUUGACGUCUAUGGCGGAUGAGCACGACUCCUCUACUACGUAUUAGAUUUAUGUUCACAUAGAAAAGAGGUUUCUUGCUUUUGCAAGAUGAGCCAAAAGUACUUUGAGCUUAGGUUGGUCACAUUUUUAAAAAUGCUUAGGAAAGGUGCCUCGAUUGCCACCUUUAUAGCAAAGGUUACUCCUGACCAACCUUUAUGAAAAGGGAGAGAUAUUAAAAGUGGAGUUAAAUUAAUUGCUGGCCUUAUCCAUGUUCGAAAGCGCGCACCUUUUCAUCUCUCCCUAACCUGAUGAACAACAAAGGUUACGACAAGGUGGCGUAAAGGUUUGAUUUGUUUUUCCGAAAAGGUCCUAAGAUUAGCUGGAAUCUUAAAAGCAUAAAAAAAAAAUUAAAAAAAACUUGGAGGCUAUGUAAGUAAUUACAUUUUAAUCAAAUACAAGUAUUUCAUUUUUUUUUUUUUUAAAUGAAAUUUUUCAUCAUGCUACGACAGCAACAGAUCGGUGUCAGUUUAAACCGAGUUGUGUUGUUGUUCUGCCCAGUGUACCCACAAUGCUUUGGGUUUUAUUUCAGAGAUUGGCCAAGUCCGUACCAGAUGUAGUCAUGUUCAUGGUGUCCAAAUGGCUGCAAUGGGGCAAGGUUCCUAUGCAAGCUCCCGGAAGGAUACGGCGUCUUUCAGCGAUCAACUUUUAUCUCCCCCAACCUCCAAAACAGCUAAUUGUGAGGCACUCGACUUGCAGGCUGCAGUAGAUUUUGAAAAGGUGCUGAGACGACUUUUGGGUGUUUUCUUGAGCCAGCCAUGUUGUCAACUGUUCCAUUCAUUUUGAAGUCAAAUAAAUUUGAGUCUGCCUUAAAAUGG